AGCUCGUGUGACGGUAAUGGGUAAAGAAGCACCGGCUAACUACGUGCCAGCAGCCGCGGUGAUACGUAGGGUGCGAGCGUUGUCCGGAUUUAUUGGGCGUAAAGGGCUCGUAGGUGGUUGAUCGCGUCGGAAGUGAAAUCUUGGGGCUUAACCCUGAGCGUGCUUUCGAUACGGGUUGGCUUGAGGAAGGUAGGGGAGAAUGGAAUUCCUGGUGGAGCGGUGGAAUGCGCAGAUAUCAGGAGGAACACCAGUGGCGAAGGCGGUUCUCUGGGACCUUUCCUGACGCUGAGGAGCGAAAGCGUGGGGAGCGAACAGGCUUAGAUACCCUGGUAGUCCACGCUGUAAACGGUGGGUACUAGGUGUGGGGUCCAUUCCACGGAUUCCGUGCCGUAGCUAACGCUUUAAGUACCCCGCCUGGGGAGUACGGCCGCAAGGCUAAAACUCAAAGGAAUUGACGGGGCCCCGCACAAGCGGCGGAGCAUGCGGAUUUAACG
rnacentral:rRNA from 1 species